GAUGAACGCUGACAGAAUGCUUAACACAUGCAAGUCUACUUGAUCCUUCGGGUGAUGGUGGCGGACGGGUGAGUAACGCGUAAAGAACUUGCCCUGCAGUCUGGGACAACAUUUGGAAACGAAUGCUAAUACCGGAUAUUAUGUGAGUUUCGCAUGAAAUUCAUAUGAAAGCUAUAUGCGCUGCAGGAGAGCUUUGCGUCCUAUUAGCUAGUUGGUGAGGUAACGGCUCACCAAGGCGAUGAUAGGUAGCCGGCCUGAGAGGGUGAACGGCCACAAGGGGACUGAGACACGGCCCUUACUCCUACGGGAGGCAGCAGUGGGGAAUAUUGGACAAUGGACCAAAAGUCUGAUCCAGCAAUUCUGUGUGCACGAUGAAGUUUUUCGGAAUGUAAAGUGCUUUCAGUUGGGACGAAGUAAGUGACGGUACCAACAGAAGAAGCGACGGCUAAAUACGUGCCAGCAGCCGCGGUAAUACGUAUGUCGCAAGCGUUAUCCGGAUUUAUUGGGCGUAAAGCGCGUCUAGGCGGUUUGGUAAGUCUGAUGUGAAAAUGCGGGGCUCAACUCCGUAUUGCGUUGGAAACUGCCAAACUAGAGUACUGGAGAGGUAGGCGGAACUACAAGUGUAGAGGUGAAAUUCGUAGAUAUUCGUAGGAAUGCCGAUGGGGAAGCCAGCCCACUGGACAGAUACUGACGCUAAAGCGCGAAAGCGUGGGUAGCAAACAGG
rnacentral:rRNA from 1 species